rnacentral:rRNA from 1 species
UACGUAGGGUGCAAGCGUUGUCCGGAAUUAUUGGGCGUAAAGAGCUCGUAGGCGGUCUGUCGCGUCGGCUGUGAAAACUCGGGGCUCAACUCCGAGCUUGCAGUCGAUACGGGCAGGCUAGAGUUCGGCAGGGGAGAGUGGAAUUCCUGGUGUAGCGGUGAAAUGCGCAGAUAUCAGGAGGAACACCGGUGGCGAAGGCGGGUCUCUGGGCCGAUACUGACGCUGAGGAGCGAAAGCGUGGGGAGCGAACAGG